rnacentral:rRNA from 1 species
AUUGAACGCUGGCGGCAGGCUUAACACAUGCAAGUCGAACGAGCGGCGGACGGGUGCGUAAUGCUAGGGAAUCUAGCUUAUGGAGGGGGAUAACUAAGGGAAACUGUAGCUAAUACCGCGUACCAUAGGAUGAACCCAUAUGGGAUUAGCUAGUAGGUGGGGUAAAGGCUAACCUAGGCGACGAUCACUAGAUGGUCUGAGAGGAUGAUCAGCCAAACUGGGACGUAGACACGGCCCAGACUCCUACGGGAGGCAGCAGUGGGGAAUAUUGCACAAUGGGCGCAAGCCUGAUGCAUCCAUGCCGCGUGUAUGAAGAAGGCCUUCGGUUUGUAAAGUACUUUCAGCGUGGAGGCGUUACCCGCAGAAGAAGCACCGGCUAACUCCGUGCCAGCAGCCGCGGUAAUAC